CUCGCUGAUGCCAUGAGCCAUGUUCUCUACCAUGCUUGCCCUGCCUACCAUUCCCAUGUCUUGACUUUGAAGGAGACCCAGAUUUCCCCGCAGUUGAACCAGAAGGUUGAAGAGUUCCUGUACCUUCACCUCCACAAUUUUCUUUCUUCAAAACAUUCUCUGUCAUUUCUCGAGCACCGGGUAUUAGCUUUUUACUGACGGUUUGCUCAGCCAUUUCCUUUACUAUGGGCUUUGCUACAUAUCUUUCAAUCUCCACUCUUUUGCUUUUAGAGCUUGUCUGCCCUUGAUGCAGACUCUUCGAAGAGGUGCCAAACUCAGGAUCAGUAUUCUGACUCCCUACACCUGUGGAGAUAUCAACUUUCUGCUGUGGAUGUAUCGGAGCCCAAAUAACAGCAUUGCUGCCAGGAAUUUUCUCUGCAGGCUUAUUUACCAGUGAGUUUCUUUGAGUUCUACGCAAAUGCUGAGAUUUCCAGUUGCUUUUCGCUCUGCUUUGGGACUCUUCAUUAGUGAAGGAACUGAUUUGUUCAGACGAAUUACCAGACACUUUGAUAUCCAACCUUGGAACUGAAACAGACCCCAGCUCCGUUUCUGCUGCCCUUGCGCUACCAGUCUCAACUGGCUCAUCUCCCGAUUUUGUUUCUUUUCCAACGGCAACUCUGGUCGGGUUUACUGUUGUUGUCUCCUCAAUCUUGUGCUUUUUCUUACCAUUCCUGUUAUUUUUUCUUUUCGUGAAAGUUGUAUCAGUUGAAACGCUUGACAUUGCUGGCAUGUCUGAGUCAUAACUUAGAACACCUUCCCUGGAUACCUCAGGAGAUGGAACAACAUCGCACACCUCUGUAGCAGCAGCAGAGAAAGAGUUCCCAGCCAUUUUUUUCUCAAAUACGAUAUUUUGCUUCUGCUUAUAACCCAAGCGCUUCGGUUUUGCGGCAGCACCAUCACGAUCACGUGGAAGAUUAUCCUGUUGAGUAGGGUCCACAUUAUUUGCAAAUUCUGUUGAAGUUGUCAGGUCUUGCAUUGAGGUUUUUCUUGAUUCUCCAGUACAUUCUAAGGACUUUGCAGCUGCAACGGUGGUCUUCUUCUCAAGAGAUGAACGGACAAGUACAUCAUUAGGUUUUGAUGCCGGAAGUGCAGGUGAACGAGACCGAGGAUCUUCUGGCAUCGGAGGGACAGACGCAUUAGAUGAAGGGACAUGUACAUCAUCAGGUUUUGAUGCCUGAAGUGCAGGCGAAAGAGACCGAGGAUCUUCUGACAUCUCAGAGACAGAAGCAUUGGAUGCAGCUUCCAAGUUCUUGACUAAACCCUCCCCAGCUACUUGGGAACGUCUAUUCAACUCUUCUAGUUUUGCAAGAGCCUUAGCCCGCUGAUCUCUUGCUCUUUCUUCCUCCUCUUUCUGCCUCUGUUGAGCACGCUGCCUGGCUAAUUCUCUCAUCAUAGCACGCUUUAAAAGAACAUGUCAAACACUCAGUCAAACGAAAAAAGAAUGACAGCAAUAAAAGUAAAAAUAACAUUGAGAAUCACAUGAACUAAUAUAUACCUCGUUGUCGUUUGGGUCGACAGAUAUUCCAGACCCAGGCUUUCUGAUGUAAUCGGUCUCCAAAGAGUCCCCUACAUUUACCUCAGCAAAGCGUUCUGAGUUUGCAGCUGAAGUUGCAGGGGAGGAGCCUGACAUAACCACUGUCUUCUGCCAACCAUCAUUGCCUUCACUGUUCACUCUUUGUUUGGUCUGAUCAUCUGCUCUGCCUUGAGCCUGUUGAGUAGAUCUCCUGUGGAUACUAACAUCAAAAUUUUCCUAACAUAAAGCAUAUCAUAACUGGUCGAAACGCUACUGACAAACGAUAACUUACCUGGAUGACAAGGCAGUUCCACUAAUAGCUGCCAGCUCAGCGUUACCAUCACUUGCAUGGCCAGUUCGAGGAAAUCUGGUUGAAACUUUACUUACAGAGUUUCCAGAAUUGACCGCACGUGUAUUGCUUUCCUGCUGAUCUCUAUUGAUGACAGAUGACGCAUUUUGCCAACCAACAAUAGUUCUAGUUUUUGCAUUUAAGCCCUCUAUCUUCUGAAUCAAACUAGGAUCUUCAGGGGUAGCAUUUUCUGCCUUAAUAGGUUGUACCUCACCACUUGCCUCAUUGCUGUUUUCUCUCCUGUUGUUUUUGGAAGUUUGCAUCUGUUGAGCUACCUCCUCUGGAUUCGGGAGCCUGUUCCCUAGAAAUUCUUUCCGGGUUGCUUCAUCUUCCCCGAACCUUCCACUUUGGGGAUUUAAGAGAACCUUGUAUGGCCUUUGCGUUUCCUGAUAAUGUGAGGGCUUAUUAUGUUCCAAAGCCACUGAGUUUCCAGAAGUAUCAUAUCCACCUUGACCAGAGUGCUUGUUAUAAGCAUGAGGAGCAACAGGCCUACCUGCAAAAGGCAGGUCUCUGUUACUGGGAGUGCCGUAACCCAUGGGAGGACCAUAAUAGCCUUCAUGUGGCACUGGACCAAGAUAAAACUCAGGCCUAGUCUGCAUCCUUGGGUGGACAUAGGAGUCCAGCAUUGGAGGUCUGAACAACUUUCCAUUAGUAUGGUGAUUACCCCUAGGACCAGCCAAAUGUCCGGGACCAGGUGGAACUUGAGUAGGAUAAUUUGGAUAAGGCUCCACGUGAAACCCCCCAGGAACCAUUGGGGCACCAUAUGGGUGGUUCUCUCUGUACCAGCCACCACCUUGAUGAUUAUUUACUGGAGGACCACGCCAAGCAUCAUAUUGAUGAGGAAAAUUAGCAGUGGGAUGGGAUUGUGAACCGCGGGAGUCCAAUUGCCCGUCUUCUCUAUAAUGUCUAGGUGCAUCUUCACUGUAUCGUUGAUUAUCUCUUCUCCAGGUAUUGGCAUCUCCAAUCCUUACAUUAGGUUCUGCAGAUAAAAGACAAGAUAUGGUCAGCUAUACUUCCCCAGAGAACAUCCGCUAAAAAGAUGUACGGGAAUAAAUCAGUAAGAAGAAUUUUCAUGAAAGCCUGGGAGGGUAACAUGGCCCUCUCAUAAGAGCCAAUUAUAAACAUAAGUAACUAUUGAAACGAGAUGGAAACAUCAGUUGUUUACCCACACAAGAAAAAGAGGUUUGAAAAUUAGAACCUUCUGGGCAAUCUACACCUUGCACUUCCACAGGUCUUCCAGACGAAGAUGCAGGACGAGCGUGAGGUCCAGCAUCUGCAAAUUCGUAGUUACUAAGAGUCAUGUCUAACGUAUCCACUUCAUAAAAUCAUAUCAUAUUAUAUUGAGGUAAUCCUAUACCCCUCAAGGGGCACAUAUUAGGGGGCCAUCUAAGAUCGUAAAAGUGUUCAAGCAAUACCAAGCCAUAAAAACCAGUCCGCGAAAGUUUAAAGUUCUAACUUUGUCGCAUGCCUGUUUAGAAAAACAAAGUACCAAUAUGCAAAAUGAAAGUCUGUGCUAACGUUACACACUAGAAAGCAAGGACGACGAAGUAUAAGACUGAAUUAUCUUCAAACUGAAACAUUUUAAUUUUCCUCCUUUACAUAGAAAAUGCUGUGUAUUUUUUUUUUUUCUUAAUGACACAAUAAUAUUUACUGUUAAUAGAUGAUACCUUGCGGCCUUGUGCUCUUUUCAGAACUUUCUUUUUCAGCACCAAGGGAAGGAAAAUCUCCAGAAGUCAAAGAAAACCCAUCAUUUUUUGUCGGAGCAACACCCUGUGGAAAACGGUGAGAAUUUUUGAAGAGGAAUAUAAAUUUCAUCGUUGAUAAUGCAAAUUUGGGUAAAUUGUACACAGCUAUCCUAUAAAAAGGCGUAUAUACAUGGAGUUUUAUCAAAUAAUCAUGAAACCCUUUCCAUCAUAUUCCAUUUGCCCAACCAUGGUUCCAGACAUGCUUAUGGAGGACAUGCGCCACUAAGUUGCCAGAUCAUCUUUCGCACCACAAACCAUUUCUAUAAGAGAAACAAUGAGUGCACUAAAUUUGACAAAUUCAGCAUCAUAAUCGUGUUCCCACGGCAAUGAGCAAACACGAAUGCUAUAUCCAGCAAUAAAUAUUCUAUUCAGAAUGGAUGCCACAAACAAAAGAACUUGAUGUGCGUUUAUUGCAACAGAUAACAAGUGAAGUGAGAGGAGAGUAACAGGGAGCUCAACAGAUGUAAGGAUACACAAAAAAGUAUAAUGCUGAUACUUGGCAGAGUCAGAUAAAUAAUAGAAACUAAAUUUAAGGGAAGAAACUUACAUGUUGACUCCAUGUUGCAGAAGUAUCUGAGACGGCUUCAGCAAAUCGGGAUAACUGGGAACUUCCAGGUCUUGUGUCUGCACUAUGUGGGCGCUGUAGUGCAACUGAUGCCUGGUUAGAUGGAAACACCCCGGAUGCUGAUGAAGGCCGGGAGUUCGAUUCCCAUGCAAUAGAAGAAGAAUCAUGCGCUUUGUCACUAUCAGCAGUUGAAGGUCGAGUGACGCUUCCACCAGAAGAAGGGCGAUUACUAAGGUGGCUUGGUGAACCAGGGCCACUUUCAGUUCGUGGUGACAACGAUGAUGUCCCCCACGCAUUCAGGGAUGAUUUACUACCCCAACUAAGGGUUCCCCUACAAUAGAUGUCCAGAAGAAAAAAAAUGAAAUAUCUAAAAUUUGACGACGAAAAAGAAUGAGAAAUGGCAAUGAAACAGGUAAAAACUUACUUUGGAACAAUUUCCACAUUUGGGUCAAGGCCUUGCUUCUCUAACCUUGAAUACGGAAGGCAAGUGAUCAGGGAGCGAGAUUAAAUAUAUUUAUUUAGUACGACUAAGUAUGAUCAUGCACUCAUCAAAUACCUUUGGCUUGGCAAGUUAAUCGGUUUUGGAACAGCAACCUUUCCCAAUAUAGUCAUGCCACUUCUUCUUGUAGUACCCCAUCUGCUAAUAUAACCAGCAAAUUUAAUUUGUUACAGAGCAAUGAUGCGAGGCGAGACGUGCAAGCAAUCUCGUUCAAAGAAUGGAAAGCCAAACAAAGAGUUUCGUUCUAUACCCCAGGCACAUAAAGUGAUUCUAUUUUGACAGUACUUGAAAUAUACAGAAGACUGAAAACAAAUGACUCAUACAGUAUUAAGCAGAAGGCCACAUCAAUGUGAAAUCAUACAAGCAUCACUAAAAAGGCCAAACGAUUAAAAAGAACAAAAAAAAAGGCCAUUCAGUUUACGGGGUAAAAAACAACCCAGUAUCAAAACAUAGAAAAGUUCUUGACAAAGAGAAAUUAUAAAGGAACAUAGAAACCUUCGAUCUCCUGUCGUGCUAGAGGUCAUUACUAAGCAGCUAAAGGAUCCAGCUACCCCUUUUGAAACCUGUAAGGAACGUGCAAGAUUAGGUUCACAAACGAAAUUUCAAGCUCAAAUCCCAAGAAUCAAACAAGACUGACUAUGAAGAAGUAUUGAUAUGAUACAGGAAUUGAUUUGACUCGUUAGCAUCUCUCUUUAGUAUACUUAAUACAAGAAAGCAAACAAAUUCGAUGUAGACUGAAGAUAUCAAACUAAGCUAAAUGCAGAGACAGAAGAACUCGGACUCUGAACUGCUGAGAAAAAAUAUAUCGUAGCAGAAUAAGACUGCCUAAACAAGCUCCCCAACACGAGCUUGUAGUCUAUUACCAUCUGCCUAAACUUUCUAUAAAUUACCAUCAUAAAAAGCUUUCAAACAAAGUAAAUUAUUGCCAUGUUCGACAGUCAAAUUGCUACAGAAACUUAAAAUAUAUCAAAAGAACGCCUAACUUCGUCAGGCAAAACUCGACCACAUUCCUAGAAACCAAGUUAGGCGUUCUCAAAAUUUCAGAAAUUUCGGCAGUAUUCAAUCAAACAGCGACCUUCUAACAUACAAAUGUAUCGACCAAUGUAAUUACUUCACGAAGGGUCACAGACUUAUUAGUCGACGAUUAUAUAAACUCGUCAGACGUCGCAAUCAAAAUGCAACGAGAUUGCUCUGGAAGAUAAACGCGAAGAAAAAAGGGAGCCAUGUAGAGAAAUAACUGACCAAAGGAAAAAUUAGGAAAUCUCCUUUGAGGGGCUCCUCGCAAACCCUAGAAAUUGUGAGAAUCCAACAGGAAGGGGAAGAUCGGAUGUUCUCCUGGGUGAUUGAUGAAGAAGAAGAAGGAAGAGGAAGGAGAAAACGAAGGAUCUGUGGAGAAAAAACGAAUACAAGUGAAGCUUUACGUUCAACGGAUUGGUUCAAAGACGACGACACAGCGUCGAAGUUCAGGGCUGCACGGUUUACUCAGCUCUUAUUUUUAUUUUUCGUUUUUUUUUUUAUUUUUGGCUCUAAUAUGUAAAUGAAUGUCACCAUUGAUUCGCGAAAGGAAAAAAAAAGCAAAAAAAAAGCGCGAAUUAGCUCUGCUGACAAAAAGGAAGGAUUAAAGUAAUACAACAAAAAGGCUAUAAUUUUAUUAUAGGUGAGUAUAUAUGCUAUGCAUCAUUAAUAUGCUUCAGAAUACAAUACAAACGUUAAAAACAAAUAUGAAAUCAUUUUUUUCUUCAUAUAUCUUCUUCAUUUCACAUAUACGGAUAUACCAACAAAUUGAGAACAACGUUUUGAGUUUCGUCAUUUUAACAUAGUUUUUCGAUUUACAAUUGUUCACAUAUAUGAUAUAUGUAUCUGUUUAUUAUAAAUAGUCAAAUAGAUUACGGUCGUUUUGGUCGGAAAAUAGUUUACGUUUAUGACUUACUUUUUUUUGUCAUAUUUUCAUGUCGCAAAUUUGACCUUUUUACUACAAAAAGUGAGUUAAUAGAGAAGAAGAAGAAGUGAUACGAAGGAGAAAAGAGACGAGAGAAGAAAUGACACGAGAGAGGAGAGAAAAUAGAGAUUUAAGAAAGAGAUUCAAUACAGUGUGCUUUGAUAAGUAUUUCAUGAGAGAUAUUCCUCUACAUAAAGGAAAAAUACUCAAAACGACAUCAGGUUAAUUAAGAUUGCAUCACUUAGCAUCGGUCAAAACAUAAUAGUUGGACCCUCCCGCCAUGGGUUAGAGCUAGAACUGAACAAAGAGGCCAAUCUUAGUAUCUAUCAUCGGUUAAUCCAGGACCGGUGUUUCUCCCAGCGAUACCCCUUUGCUGCUGGUACAACUUUUGUCCACCAUGCCUUUGGUGGCCCUGUCCCUUCUCCCUGUAUCUUAAACUUUCAGUCUGAGAACUGUCUUUCAUUUGUUCUCGAUUGUGUUCUCUGUCAUAAGUAUGUGACCCAACAGGCUUGUAUUCGUAAUGCAUAUUUUGCUUCUGUCUAUCUCUGUUGGAAUGUGGCCUCUGAUGGUGGUGAUGGUGCAUAUUCUCUUGCACCGAUGAACCCCAACCUCCUUGUGACUCCUGUCCUCUUCCAAACCGUCGACUUUGGCCUGUGUUCUUUUGGAACAUACUACUCGGAUUUUGCUCCACCUGGACCUCCUUAGUGGUAGAUCGGUUUUGAGACUGGGCAGGUGUAUCAGCUGAUGUCUUUUUCUGUUCUGAAGUAAACCCUUGAGGUUCGUGUCCAACAAAACCCCUUUCAUGAGAUACAUAGGUUUUGUCCCUCGUCUUUUCACGACCACCAUACUUGCCUGUCUUAUUUAUAUUAGGGGGACCACCAGCUGAGUGCGACACAUGAUCCCCAGAGCCACGGCUUUCUUUUGAAGCAACAGGCAGAUCUGGUUGACCUAACCCAUGGCCACUGGGCUGCAUAUGAGCUUUACUGAAAUCCCUCUUAUUCGCUUUUUUAAGAUCACCAUAGUUACUCCCUCCACCCUUAUUGUUUCUGAAAGCAUGCUGCUUACCGUGGAAGCUCAUUCCCUGAUCUUUUCCAACAACACCAGCUUGAGGAACACUUGCUUCCAUUUCUUCAGCAGCAGAGUAAUGCGUUUCAGGAGUCAUAUGCCAGCCAUCGUUCCACCCAUCAUCAUUACUUGUGGUUUGAUCCUUGGCAGAGCCUACAGCGAUUUGUUCGGUGUGAUUACUUGUGUGAUAAUUCACUGUUCCUCGAGUAGGCUGAUUUGAGGUUACAAAUUGUCCUUCCUCCAAAGCUUUGGUAGAUGCUGCAGAACCUCGCUGGUGCCAUGAGCCAUGUUCUCUACCAUGCUUGCCCUGCCUAGCAUUCCCAUGUCUCGACUUUGAAGGAGACCCAGAUUUCCCCGCAGUUGAACCAGAAGGUUGAAGAGUUCCUGUACCUUCACCUCCACAAUUUUCUUUCUGCAAAACAUUCUCUGUCAUUUCUCGAGCACCGGGUAUUAGUUUUUUACUGACGGUUUGCUCAG
rnacentral:lncRNA from 1 species